UACGGGGGGUGCAAACGUUGCUCGGAAUCAUUGGGCGUAAAGCGCACGUAGGCGGCCGACUAAGUCGGAUGUGAAAGCCCAGGGCUCAACCCUGGAAGUGCAUUCGAAACUGGUCGGCUUGAAUAUGGAAGAGGGUCGCGGAAUUCCCGGUGUAGAGGUAAAAUUCGUAGAUAUCGGGAGGAACACCAGUGGCGAAGGCGGCGACCUGGGCCAAUAUUGACGCUGAGGUGCGAAAGCGUGGGGAGCAAAC
rnacentral:rRNA from 1 species